rnacentral:tRNA from 1 species
UUCUAAAUAGUUUAUUAAAACAUUAAAUUGCAAAUUUAAAAAAUUAAGAAAUCAUUGAUG